rnacentral:rRNA from 1 species
CACGGGGGGAGCAAGCGUUGUUCGGAAUUACUGGGCGUAAAGGGCUCGUAGGUGGCCAACUAAGUCAGACGUGAAAUCCCUCAGCUUAACUGGGGAACUGCGUCUGAUACUGGAUGGCUUGAGAUUGGGAGAGGGACGCGGAAUUCCAGGUGUAGCGGUGAAAUGCGUAGAUAUCUGGAGGAACACCGGUGGCGAAGGCGGCGUCCUGGACCAACACUGACACUGAGGAGCGAAAGCCAGGGGAGCAAACGGG